rnacentral:miRNA from 1 species
GACGUCGAUAUUCGACGUCAUAAACACGAUCAACUUAGAUGUUUAUGACGUCGACGGCAUAAACACGAUUAACUUUGGUGUUUAUGACGUCGAUAUUCGACGUAAUAAACACGAUCAACUUUGGCGUUUAUGACGUCGAUAUUCGACGUCAUAAACACGAUCAACUUAGAUGUUUAUGACGUCGAUAUUCGACGUCAUAAACACGAUCAACUUUGGUGUUUAUGACGUCGAUAUUCGAAGAC